UUUUAGUAUUUAAUUUAAAGUCUAACCUGCCCACUGAAAAUUUUAAAUGGCCGCAGUAUUUUAACUGUGCAAAGGUAGCAUAAUCAUUAGUCUUUUAAUUGAAGGCUGGAAUGAAUGGUUGGAUAAGAUAUUAACUGUUUCAUAAAAAUUUUUAAUAGAAUUUUAUUUUUUAGUUAAAAAGCUAAAAUUUUCUUAAAAGACGAGAAGACCCUAUAAAUCUUUAUAUUUAAAUAAUUUUAAUUAUUUAGAUAAAUUAAAUUAUAAUUAUUUUAAAUAUUUUAUUGGGGUGAUAUUAAAAUUUAAUAAACUUUUAAUUUUUAAUUUACAUUAAUUAAUGAAUUUUAUGAUCCAUAUAUUAUGAUUAAAAAAUUAAGUUACUUUAGGGAUAACAGCGUAAUUUUUUUAGAGAGUUCUUAUUGAUAAAAA
rnacentral:rRNA from 1 species